UACGAAGGGGGCUAGCGUUGCUCGGAAUUACUGGGCGUAAAGCGCACGUAGGCGGCUUCUUAAGUCGGUGGUGAAAUCCUGGAGCUCAACUCCAGAACUGCCUUCGAUACUGGGAAGCUCGAGUCCGGGAGAGGUGAGUGGAACUGCGAGUGUAGAGGUGAAAUUCGUAGAUAUUCGCAAGAACACCAGUGGCGAAGGCGGCUCACUGGCCCGGUACUGACGCUGAGGUGCGAAAGCUGGGGGAGCGAACGGG
rnacentral:rRNA from 1 species